rnacentral:rRNA from 1 species
CGGCGAGCGAAAGGGAGGAGCCCAGCGCCGAAUCCCCGACCUUCGGUCGUGGGAAAUGUGGCGUUUAGGAGUGAGCGUGCCGGGUUCGGAGCGGGCGGCAAGUCCCCCUGACCGGGGCCUGUCCAUAGCGGGUGCGAGGCCCAUAGCCGCCCGUCCCGUCUCGGAUGCGAUCUCCUUGGAGUCGGGUUGCUUGGGAGUGCAGCCCUAAUCGGGUGGUAAACUCCACCUAAGGCUAAAUACCGCCGUGAGACCGAUAGCAAACAAGUACCGUGAGGGAAAGUUGCAAAGAACUUUGAAGAGAGAGUUCAAGAGUACGUGAAACUGCUCAGAGGUAAACGGGUGGGCCCUCGAAAUCCUGUGGCGAGAGGAUUCAGUCUGGCGCCGGAGACUCGGAGUUCGGAAAGAUUGGUAGGGCUUCCCGAGACCGGGGCCGUCCGACACCGAGCCUUCUUCGGUUCCAGACGCAUUUGUCUCUCGUCCGAAGGACGCUGCAGCCGGUCGGGCAGUGCAAGCGUGUCGGCCUGAAGGAGGGGAACCGGUAGGUGGCCGGUGGCGCGCCUCGUGUGUGUCGCCGGUUGUUAACCAUCCCUUCGGUGGCUCGACGCCCGACCGUGGUGUCGCGAGGCCCUCAUGGGCCUCCACGUCUCCUCCCUGAGUCGCGGGACAGACGGUCGCAGGUGAACUCCGCUGUUCCGCCGCACUCCCUCGGAGUGGGCGGACAAACGGAGCGCUCCGUUGGCGGCCGCGGACCCGCGGGGGAUCGAAGGCUAGCAGCGAGUAGGUCGGUCACCC